UAUGGAUAAGGAGCAUCCCCGGUUGCAAGCGUAGGGUUCUAACUAAGUUUGUAGGGUUCAGCGUGGGAGCUUGGCAGUGACACAGAGAGGUUGAGGGAGGGCUUCAGAGGUCGAGGGCUGGAGACAAACAGUGAAAAUAAAAGGGGUACAGGUUGGGAUAUAAGGUAGAGUACAGGACUAUUCAAACCCUAAACAGCAGCCCUAACAGCGCUCCCGUUUCCCUGAGACAGCUGCAGGCAGGAACCCUAAAGCAGCAGAGUGCCAGAACCCCCGAGAGCUGCAGGCAGUACCCCUGGUGCUAGGGCCAGCCAGGAAGAGAUAGAGGGUGCUAGGGUCUACUGCUGUCAUAUAAGAUGGGGUUUCCAUCCUUGGGGUACCCUGGGUUCCCUGUCCCUCACUGACUGGAGAGUCUUCCUCCCCUCCUUGAGGUGGUGGUAAUUUGGCUGUGUCAGCCAAUACUGCUGUGAAGCAAGCCUCUGCCUCCCUGCGGGGUGAAGUGUGCAGCCCAUGAACCUGGGCGUUCUCUAGAGAAGGUAAGUGCUGAAUUUUCACAGAUGUGCCGCUAAGAUCCUGCAUUGAUAUUUGGUCUUCUAGAUUGUAGCUGACGAGGAGACGACAUCCUGGCGAUGGCAGGAACUUCCCGGAUAGCGCAACGGCCUUCCAGGGCGUCCUCGUGUGGAUCCUCCCCGCCGGGCAUCCGAGAGCUGAGUCGAAGGCUACAAAUUGCAGAGGGGCUGAAAGCGGGGUGCCGGGUCGGGACUUGUGACCUGGGAUUAUGGAGUCAGCUUUGGGGACGGGGAGGUCCAGGCUGUGGCCCCUUAGGCCACGUGAAGGGAGAGCCUCACAUUUGUUCACAGUGCUGAGGUGCGCAGGACAGAGCAGUCCUGGGGCGCGUCAUGUCACUUGUCCGUCGUGCCUUCUGUGUCUUUGGUGCCUCUCCUGUUGUAUGUGCCUCGCCUUAUCUCUUCUGGGGGCUUACCAGAAACCCCAGUGUCACUCGUAGCAUCUCUGAUCUCUGGGCUCCUCAGCCCGAUGCCAUCGAAGCUUUGCCUCAGGAGCUCUCAGAGGCCUUGGAAUCGCGUCUCUCUUUUAAAAGCAUCCCAUCGGAUGUCUUUUAGAGGUCUUGUUCCGAGCUGUGUCAACAGCCGUGCGCCGCGAGGAUCCAUUGUUGCGGCUUAGGUCUUGAAGAAACACAAAGAUAGGUAGGGGACUGUGGCCCUAAAAUUCUCGGGCAUCCGUCUUGGCAGUUCCUGGAGUUCGUCAUUCCGUCAGCAUCUUCUUCCUCCCGGGUUCUGCGAGCUUCAUCAGCUCAUUCUCACCCGGCUCAUCUCAUUCCAUGUUCUCUCGGUUCUUGCGGCUGUUCUUGUGGCCCAGAGUUUUGUCUCCCCGUUGUGUCCCCUCGUCUGUUGUCUUGUGUGUCACGGGUGUCUGGGUGUAGUUGUCCCGGAGCUGCUCUGCCCUGCUGCCCAGCCUGGGUGUAGGUGUAAAAGGCCAAGUCUCAGGCCCCUGUAAUUUGAAAUUUGUCAUGGAGUCUAGAGGGUGUUCCUAGAUUGACACAGGAUGUGUGGAGCUGUAAAGUUACCCUGCAGCACUUUGACUUUUGUCUCAGCUUUCUUUCAGAUGCGGACGGAUGAAAUCGGUGGCAGAGCGCCCCAUCCAGGGAAGUGAAGCCGGCUAGCAGCAGUCAAGGCGAAGUGGGCAAGGUGGUCCAGUCGCAUUUUGCUGAGAUCCCCUCGCCAACCGGCCAGCAUGCCUGCUUCGCCUCUGCCGUGAGCCCUACGGAAGCGUUACGGGACCAUCUGAUGAAGCCUUGGCCUUUUCCACGUAAAGGGGCCGUGUUUGUGGCCUUCAGGAACGGGCCGAGGGGUUGCCGCGCGCCCUGCGACGACGGCGUCCGGCUCCCGGCGUGGCCGAAGCGUGCGGCCUCAAGACGUGGCCGUUCACAGGAGACUCUGACCGAGAGAUGGCAGCCUGGCGAUGGCAGGAACUUCCCAGAUGGCGAGACGGCCUUCCUUGGCGCUCCACGUGGAUCCACCCUGCCGGGCAUCCGAGAGCUAAGUCGAAGGCUGCGAAUUGCAGAGGGGCUGAAAGUGGGGUGCCGGGUCGGGACUUGUGACCUGGAAUUAUGGAGUCAGCUUUGGGGACAGGGAGGUCCAGGCUGUGGCCCCUUAGGCCACGUGAAGGGAGAGCCUCACAUUUGUUCACAGUGCUGAGGUGUGCAGGACAGAGCAGUCCUGGGGCGUGUUGUAUCACUUGUCCGUCGUGCCUUCUGUGUCUUUUGUGCCUCUCCUGUUGUAUGUGCCUCGCCUUAUCUCUUCUGGGGGCUUACCAGAAACCCCGGCGUCACUCCUCGCAUCUCUGAUCUCUGGGCUCCUCGGCACGAUGCCAUCGAAGCUUUGCCUCAGGAGCUCUCAGAGGCCUUGGAAUCGCGUCUCUCUUUUAAAAGCAUCCGAUCGGAUGUCUUUUAGAGGUCUUGUUCCGAGCUGUGUCAACAGCCGUGCGCCGCGAGGAUCCAUUGUUGCGGCUUAGGUCUUGAAGAAACACAAAGAUAGGUAGGGGACUGUGGCCCUAAAAUUCUCGGGCAUCCGUCUUGGCAGUUCCUGGAGUUCGUCAUUCCGUCAGCAUCUUCUUCCUCCCGGGUUCUGCGAGCUUCAUCAGCUCGCCUUCAUUCUCACCCGGCUCAUCUCGUUCCGCGUUCUCUCGGUCCUUGCGGCCGUUCUUUUGGCCCAGAGUUUUGUCUCCCUGUUGUGUCCCCUCGUCUGUUGUCUUGUGUGUCACGGGUGUCUGGGUGUAGUUGUCCCGGAGCUGCUCUGUCCUGCUGCCCAGCCUGGGUGUAGGUGUAAAAGGCCAAGUCCCAGGCCCCUGUAAUUUGAAAUUUGUGAUGUAGGGUGUAGUUGGAGUCUAGCGGGUGUUCCUGGAUGGACACAAGAUGUCUGGAGCUGUGAAGUUACCCUGCAGCACUUUGACUUUUGUCUCAGCUUUCUAAGCAUUUAAUUAUUUGCUGCCCAAUGUCCGGUUCAAAAGAGUAAUAAAAACCUAUACUGAUUACGUUAUAUUGAUACUUCUGUGUGUUGGG